rnacentral:rRNA from 1 species
UACAGGGGGUGCAAACGUUGCUCGGAAUCAUUGGGCGUAAAGCGCACGUAGGCGGUUCGUUAUGUCGGAUGUGAAAGCCCUUGGCUUAACCGAGGAAGUGCAUCCGAAACUGGCGAGCUAGAGUACGAAAGAGGAUCGCGGAAUUCCCGGUGUAGAGGUGAAAUUCGUAGAUAUCGGGAGGAACACCGGUGGCGAAGGCGGCGAUCUGGGCCGAUACUGACGCUGAGGCGCGAAAGCGUGGGGAGCAAACAGG